UGUUGCAAAAAAAUUUAUGUCAUAAUGACAUAAAUUUCGAUAAUGACAUAAAAUCAUGCAUAGCUUAUGCCGUUGACAUAAAUUCUGUUGCAUAAAAAUAUUUAUGUAUUGUUUUAGCUUAUGACGCGAUUUAAUCAUCAUUACAUAAACUGAAUAGUCACGAACGAGCCUGUUGACAUAAACUUGGCAUAAGUUGUCAUUUUUCAGCCGCAGCAAGUUCUUGCGAAAAAGGGUCAUCGGCUUCCCAUUUUGACGGGAAAGAGGCAUAUUUUGUUGAACGACACAAACGGUGAGAAGAGGUAGAAAUAAAGAAGGGGAUUGCAACUGGAAGGAGAUGGAAGUCCAGACACUCUGCCACUGUGUGCCAUUGAACAAGAAAUCUCUUUUAGUAUGAAGAUUGUUCAAGAGUCAAGACUGUUGAAGACGUGACGUCAUGGACCUGGUUGCACAUGGCAAGGGAAAUAUCUGGCUGUACCCUGAAGUAUUCUCUUUAAGAUUUGAAAAUUAACAAAAGUACUAAUUUUCAUUUUUUCAGAGAUAAUAAUCAUAUUGCCAUUGUGGAUAUCUUUUUAUGAUUGUUAUCAUAAAAUUAUUAUAAUGUUAAUGAUGAUAGGUCAUAAUAAUACACAUGAACAAUAAGUAGAAAAGAAGACAACCAAAAAGGAGGAAAAGAAGAAGAUGAAGAAGAAAAAGAAGAGGAGGGGUGGAAGAGGAGAAAAGGAGAAGAAUAAAUAACAUCACUGUGAGUUCAUCUUCAUGA